rnacentral:lncRNA from 1 species
UUUUGUUGUUUUUUUUUUUUUUUUUUAGUGGAGAUAGGGUUUCACCCUGUUGGCCAGGCUGGUCUUGGAGUCCUGAACUUAAGUUAUCUGCCUGCCUUGGCCUCCCAAAGUGUUGGGAUUACAGCUCUGGAGGCUGGGAAGUCCAGGAUCAAGGUACCAGAAGAUUCAGCAUCUGCUGAGGGUUUGUUCCUUAUAGAUGGCAUGUCGUAUGUGUUCUUACGUGGCAGAAGGGGAAAACAGGCUCCCUCAGGCCUCUUUUGUAAGGUGAGGAAUCUCAUUCAUGUGGGCAGAGUCCUCCUGACCUAAUCAUCUCCCAAAGACCUCUGCUCUUAAUACCAAUAUCAUGAGGGUUAUAUCCCAACACAUAAAUUUGGAGAAAACACAGACAUUCAGACCAUAGCAGAUGGUUUCAAAGUUUUGUUCCUAUCAUUCUUCUCUAUCAUGUGCUGCUUGUUCUCUAGCCAGCAUGAAUGUAGUUUUGCCUUCUGUUACUUUUAUGAGGGUUAACAGUAAACUGGCUCCAGUGGCUAUUUUUGCAAAAAUAGUUCUUGACUGAGGAAAAGCACAACAGAAUUCUGGUUGCUAGACCUAAUAAUCACAGGUAAUAUGAUUCGUAAUUGUUUGACUUUUUGCUCAGUGGAAUUUAGAAGUGAUAUCAUAAAAUCUAUUCUUUCUACAGUGAGAAAGAAUUAAAAAUUCAGAAAUGUCAUUUAAGACUACUAAGAAUAUUCAAAGGAAAACUCAUUACUCUCUUAUUGGGUAUUUGUAACAUUCUUAUUUGUGCAGUUAAUUCUCAUUCGCAGUAUUUAUGAUCUACAAAGUUGUGGCAGCCACUCAAUUAAUACAUACUGAACUGUUGCUUAUGGGGAAACAUAAAGUUAGGUUUCUGCAAACCCCAUUCACAGCUUUCUUUCAAUAGAUCCAUACAUAAACAUGUUUUGUGUUUCUGUUUAAAGACACUUUAUUUAAUGUGUAUCAUUGCUUCAUUAACAUUGAACCCAUAGCCAACAGCACUAUAGCUCGUGCCUAAACAAAGCUUAUCUAACACAUGUGCUUCUUCUAUAAGAUAUAUCACGCCUUCUUGCCCUAGACAGUACUUCAACACUAAGCUUGGGAGCCAUUUAAAUAACAGAAUUACCAACAAAA